UCCAGCAGCCGCGGUAAUACGUUCCCGGGCCUUGUACACACCGCCCGUCACACCACGGAAGCAAGCAACACCCGAAGCCGGUGGCCUAACCCUUUGGGAGGGAGCCGUCGAAGGUGGGGCUCGUGACUGGGGUGAAGUCGUAACAAGGUAGCCGUACCGGAAGGUGCGGCUGGAUCACCUCCUUUCUAGGGAAGCCUCCAGGAUUGGAGCGCCUGGUCCGCCACUGAGCGGCCAGGUCCUAGCAAUGUCGACCGAGCUCGGACGCAGGUGCGCUCCGGCGCGCCCCGCAUGCUGUUGAGUUUUGAGAGACCGGCGGCUCAGUCCGGGCCGGCGCUCCGCAGCGGUCCUUGAAAACUGCACAGUUUUUCCAAUGUAACGGGUAUCACCGCGUGCUCGACGCCGAGUCGAGUGCGCGAUCACCGUCAAGAUAAGAAGGGCACACGGUGGAUACCUAGGCACACAGAGA
rnacentral:sRNA from 1 species